GGGGUAUUAGCUCAUUUGGUAGAGCGCUUCCAUGGCAUGGAAGAGGUGGGCGGUUCAAAUCCGCCAUACUCCACCA
rnacentral:tRNA from 1 species